UAGAGAAGUGACAAGUCAAAGGAAAAAAAAAAAAUCUUAGGCUCCCAAAGGCAGUAAACCAUGGGAAAGUAAAUAUAUGAGGGAAAUUAAUGGAGUAAGGUUUGUUUGUGCAGAUCCAUCUUGGCGCCAACUUCAUCUUCUCUGUGGCCAUAAAACUUCCCUAGAAGAGGAGAUUUACAGCAGUCCUCAUUUCUCAGAAGUUUCUGCUUCUCAUGAGAUAAGGGAAGCUCUGAGAUGGCUUCUUUCUGCAUCUGUUGAAUCUGAAAUAAUUGUAUGCCAAAGUGGCAUGUUUUGGAGUGGCAUAUUUUGAUCUCUACAAGACAAAUUGUAAAAAGGAGUCAAAGAACGACAUUCCGUCCACCUGCCCUGCCCUCCCCCACCAAGCCUCAGGGCUGUGGGGUUCUAUAGGAAUGAGUUUUCUGGUGGACAACUGAGGCGGAAGGACUUGAGCAAGCCUGGGACCGGCGUCCUACAGAGAGCAGAUGAGUGGUUCUGCUUCUCCAUGCUGCCCUAAGUUUUCCAGUGGCCAUGGGAGACUUGUGGUUUUCCUGCACUACCAACAUCUCUGAAUAAGUCUGCCAAAUUCAGGGGCAAAGUGUUAGCAAGCUCACUUGGCCAGCAGACUAAGCCAUGUUCUCCACCAUUUUGACCUCCAUAUGCCUGACUCCUGUGUCCGUCUCUCAGUUGUUUCCAAGUUUGAGAAGGGAUUAAAAGAAUGCCUUGUAUUAGCCACUAAAACCCCAACCCCAACAGUGGAGAGAGCCUACCUCAGCUGUUUAGUUGCCCUGCCCCAUUUGAGCAUUGGCCAUCAUAGUAGAGCUGGUACCCAAGAUGCUCCCUGAAGAAAUUAUGAGCACCUCAAACUUCUGGGGCCAGGAGGUGAAACAACAUUAUACCAGCCUUAGCAGAUCUUGAAUGGAGAACUUGCCCAAAGAGAGUGCUUUAUCUUCAGAUAAGACUCAUGGUGUCUGAGGAGGGUCAUUGCAAGAGAUCAUCUUCCCCAAGAAAGUGACUCAGCCACCCUCAGCAUAUUUCCUUUGAGGUCCAAAGGACUUGGGUUCAAAUUCUGGCUCUAUUACCUGCCAGCUGGGGACCUUGAACAAGGCAUUCUCCAUUCUGAAGCCUAGUUAUCUUGUUUAUGAAAUGAACAUGAUUGGUCGUUGUGAUAACCAAGUGAAAUAAUGGGAUAAUGAAUGCUUUAUUUUUCCUAUUGUGGGAAAUGCUUUGUAAACUGUGAAAAGCUGUAGCAUGUAAGACGUUGUUAUAAUGAACUCGUGUUCUAGAUGGGGAGACUGGAUGUGGAGAGGUGCAAAAUUAGCCCGUCAUGCAAGGCUUGGUAACAUUUUUCAAUGGUAUAGGGAGGAGCUUUAUAGGUAUUGGGAGGCAGAAGGAAGCAUUGAGGGCUGGACAUGCAGCCUUGGCAAUUGCUAGAGAGUCUCCUUGUGUGGAGGGAGAACUGGUCCUCCCUCACAAUUCAUUGCAUUGUUCUCUGUGCUGCAUUCACUUUCUACUUGGAGACAACAGCCACCACACCAUGACCUUAGGGGAGGCUUCCUGGCCAUUUAUGUUCUGACCCAAAGGACAAAUGGCCCUUCCCUUAAUUCUGUGCAGCACAGCUGAGCCUGGAGGAACAGCUAAGUAAAACGUUACUAAUAGAAGGAAAUGAUGAUGGAGAGUAACAUGUGAUCAGGCUUAUAGGUAGCACAGCUUAACGACUCAUUCUGCUUUAAUAUAUUACGGUAUUUACAGAUAGAUUUCUUUUAUUGACAAAUAAAGAGGUUCUGGACUAGAUUUUGUUAAAGAAAGCUACAGGUUACCUCAUAGAUGAUCAACAUCUUAAACCCUUAAUAUGGUCCUCAAGGCAUUGCCUGAUAUGGCCCCAAUGCCCCUCCUUCAGCCUCAGCUCCUUUUGCCCCGCUUCUCCUUGCUGUUUGAGCUCUAGGCACACUGGGAUCCUCCGCAGACCUUGACAAUCUCCUUCCUGCUUCCAACCCUUUAAACCUGCCUGGAACAGACCUCCCCUACCUAGGCCUACCUUAUCUGUGCCAGGCUAAUUCUUUUUUGUUCAUUUGUUUUUUAUUUUUUAGUUUAUUUUUGCCUCUAGAUAUAAUUUUUUGUUGUUUAUUAUUUUUUAGCCUGACUAACUUUUUUUUUUGAGAUGGAGUCAUGCUCUGUCACUUAAGCUGGAGUGCAGUAGUGUGAUCUCAGCUCACUGCAACCUCCACCUCCUGGGUUCAAGUGAUUCUCAUGCCUCGAUCUCCCAAGUAGCUGGGAUUACAGGUGUGUGCCACCAUGUGCAGCUAAUUUUUGUAUUUUUAGUAGAGAAGGGGUUUCACCAAGUUGGCUAGACUGGUCUCAAACUCCUGACCUCAGGUGAUCUGCCCACCUUGGCCUCUCAAAGUACUGGGAUUACAGGCGUGAGCUACUGCGCCUGACAGCCUGGCUAACUCUUAAGCAUCCUUCAGAGCACAGCUUUGCUGUCCCUUCCUCCAGGAGCCUUUCUUGACCACUCCUCCCACCUCAGACAUAGUUAGGUUUCCCUGUAACAUAUUCCCUUAGCAUCCAAUAUGUCUACUCUUAUCAUGGACCAAAAUUAUCAUUAAGUAAGCAAUGGUAUCAUUGUUGUUCAAUGUCUAUGUUCCCUGUCAUCAUUGUAUACCAUACCCUUGCACAGACUAUGCACCCAACAUUUGUGAAAUUAAUGAGGACUGAAUGAAUGGUGAACAGAGAUGGUUUUCCAGAAUAAGUGGAAUUAGAGUCGGGCCUUGAGGCAGAACUGGACUCCAACAUCAUAGUGACAGACUGAAAGGAGCACUGGAUUGAGAGGCAAGAGUCUGAGAUUCUGAGUCUAGCUGUAUGCUUUGUCUAUUCAUUCAGGAGAUAUUCACUAAAUGCCCACUGCCAGGCACUGUAGUAGGUACUGGAGAUAUGCUGCAGUUUGCCAUGGUUACUAUGGUUACCACAGGACUGAACGAAGGAGGAUGAAUACAGAAAUGAAAACUUAAAACAAAAGAAACCGUUUUAAAGAAGGGGUCCGGGGAAGAAGAAGGCUCCCUGCUUCUAGUGAGCAAAGGCAGCCCUGAGCUUCUACAGCCCUUCGUAUUUAUUGGGUAGAAAGAGCAGGGAGGAGGAGGUAACGAUUGGUCAGCUGCUUAAUUGAUCACAGGUUCACAUUACUGCUAACAGGCUUCAGAUGUGCCUAACCACAAGAAACACUGCUUGGGGCGUGACUGCCCUCAGCAUUCCUUCUGGGCGGCAGACGCAGUUUGUCAGUUUGCCAACAUCCUGCUUUCAUGAAAACAGUUUGCUGUUUACUCACAGAGCCUCCAGUGGUAUACUGAGUUGAUCAUGACCCUCAUUCUUUCAGCCUGCAACAGAGAUACAGUGGUAAAUAAUACUGAUACCAUUGGUCAUGGUUCCCUCCUCCUGGAGGUCUAGAGAAGGAUUCAGAUGCAAGUUGAAUAACCACACAAAUAAAUGUAAAAUCCCAGCUGUGAUAAGAGCCAUGAAGAUAUGCAUGGAACAAUCAGUGUGUUUAAGAAUGAGAUUUAGG
rnacentral:lncRNA from 1 species